UAAGAAUGAAGUUUUUGGCGAUGAAACGCGGCAAUCCCCUAAAAUGUCUUUUAUGUAUCAAUUCGCCGCUAAUCAAUCGUCAAUUUCAAUAAAAACCAACUCGGUUUUGCUUCCAUUGAAAUUCCGUAUUCUAUUUCUAAAAAGGCACAUACUAUUAUUUCUUUGUUCGUCAGAGCGUUCUGAAUUCCAGUUGUCAAUUGUACCAGUGCAGCCUCCGUAGAUUUGCUUGUUUGGUAUGCGAAUUGAUGGAGAGGUUUCCACUUCAGAAACGAGGUAUGAAGGAUACUUUGGUCCUUCCUCAAGGCUCUGGCAUGUACCCCAGCUCUUGAAUAGAAGAAUAGAACGGAGGCAGGAUUUUCUCCUGUCCUCUUUAAAGAAUAGUGAUAAGGAAAACAAAAGAGAAAAUACAUAAUACAAAAUGCUUCCUCAUAGUAUAUUGUGGAGCCGACAGUAAUUUUUACAGAGCGACGUGGUUCUCAAGUGUUUGAAAUAGCCGUGACGCAAUGCUGUUAUCUAGGGAUGGACGUGGUAGAGUUAGGAUAAAAUUUUGACAUAAAAUAUACAACCUGAAAUCGACAACUGCGUUAUACAGUGUCACCAAUUAAGUUAUUUCGUGUUUUUCAUAUUUAUUAUAUUUCGUGGAAGCCACAAAGUGAGAUAACUAAGAGUCCUUGAAAUGAACCACCCUCUCUAUCUCGGUAUAAGACCUCUAUAGGACUUUUCGGAAACUAUGAUCAUGAUCUGAUUGUUCGGAAACCAAUCCGGAUCGCGUUCUUUGUUCUUCGGAAACUGAUCAAAUUGAUUUGGUCGUAGUUAUAUGAUCCUUUCUACCCUGGUGGACCAGUGGGUAAAUGCGAUCAGCUGACUGGUUAUUUAAUUUGUCAUUUCAGCAUAAAAAUAGCUAACUACUAUUAAACUUUAGUGCAAAAUUCAUAUGAGGGGGUAAAACGCAUAAAAAAGUAAUAAGAAUCAUAAAUUAUUGAAGAUCAUGUCUCAAAUUUAAAACUUCCACCGACAAUUCAACGCGACGUUCGAUGAUUGUGAUCUAACGUUUAAGUUAAGAUCAGCUAUAAACUGAUUGGUGAUCCACCUGAACAUUAGUUAUAGUUUACGAAAAGUUCUUUAAGACCGUGGUCAAGACAAUCAAGAAGUUUUAUGAAAAUUUUAUAUGCAAUUAGCAGAACACCUGCAUGUGUAGAUGUCUAUACCUCAGGAAAAACAUUCAACAAGAAGAAAAAUGAAUCUUCAUAAAAAUAUGUAAAAAAUCAUUAAAACAUUCAUUUCAGUAUCAUAAAACUUCAUAAAACAAUUCUAAAAAGUGUAUGAAAGGACUAAAUUGGAAGCAGUUGAUGUUAAUUAAGAAAAACCGUUCAUAAUAUUGAUAUUCUCGUAAUGGGGAAGUGGGGAAAUUUGAAAUAAAAUAAGAAAAAAAAACAUAACGUUGAUGUGGUACAGUGUAAAAGGCGUUCUACACUGUGGGAAUUGACCACCUAACCGAGGUGACCGAGGUUUCUGCACUGCCCAUUUUUACGUCAAUCCGAUUAAGGUCACCUCGGCUGGGUGAUCGAUUUUGAACGUGUAGAACGCCUUUAAGGUCCGCCGCAAAUUGAUUCCAGCACAUUCCACACGCAACACACGCCUGUACUAUUCUGUGGAACGUUGUUUCAAACGGCGCAUGUUGAACCCAUCCUAAGGCUAGUCUAGACCAGCCCCACGAGGGUCGAGUUGUACUUGCAACGCAGUUUCGUGGGUCUGUGUGAAUAUUUUGUUUUGAAAUUUUAUUUUAUGUUGAUCAAUAUUUCUUAUUUUGUACAAUGGAAAUAGUUAUUUGCAUGCCAAGGACUGGAAGGACUACUUUGUUGGACGAGUCUGAAAAUUGCGAGACAAGCAACAGACGAGUUUUGGAUAUUUGUUAAUGUGAACAUAUUGUUUUAUUGCGAGAGUACUUUUAAUCAUCGAGAAUGUAGACUAUAAAGUAGGACUUUUCUGGAUUUUAGAUUUUUUAGAAAAAUAAGCGAAUACUACGUUUUCCGUUGGGUUUUUCGCCUUUUUCUAGUCACACCACUUUAUAAAGAGCUCGUACUCUUUUUCGUACUUUGCACGAGAUUUAUCCGGCAACGAAUUAUGAACGGUCGCAUUGCUUUCUUCUGUGAGAUCAGGUGGCGUGGAUUCGACUAAUUUUUCAUCGCUGAUCUUCAUCAUAAUUCAUUGUUAUUCAUUAAUUUAGACAAAACUUCGGAUAAAACAAAUAAUUUCGGUAAAUUAAAAAUUUAAGGCUAGGCAAAACGCAACUUUCGGUAUGUAAAUGAAUACAGAACGAACAGAUUCGGAUUCUAAAUCGAGAAGAAGAUGUUGGUGAAUGGCAAUGUUGCAUAGUGGCAGAUGGGAAUUUGGCUAAGCAUGUGCAUGGGUUGGGUUCAAUUUGCGACGGGUCUAAUGAAAAAUUAUACUUUGUUUUUGAAACCUAUUCAUAUAAAAAUUUAUUUCAAAUUUUUGUGCUUUUAUUAAAUUAGUGUAAUUUGAAAAACGAAAUUGCAUUGCUUUGAAAAAAUUAUGGUUUAAAUCCAUUCGUUUUCAAUCAUUUUUCUAAACAAAAAUAAAAAUUUCUUCUUAGCUAUUGGAUGUGAUUCACUAGAUGUGAAUUCUUUCUUUCCGAAAGGGCCUCCAACUUCUCCCUUCUUUGCAUAAAUAACCGUAAAAUUCAUUAUCAUUAUUUGUAAGAAAGACGACGGGAUGGCUUCGUUAAGUUUUAGCAUAAAUUUGUUAUAAGCGUAAGGACCGACGUCGCAUUUGCACUUUUCCAAAAUUUUAAUGAACCAUUCGUGAUAAAACAUUAUCAAAUAAUCAAAAUGGUUUUCAAGGGUGACUAAAUCCACACUACUGAAAAGGAAAAAUAUUAAAUCCGAAAAUAGUUCAUUCACGUUACACAUUUGGAAAUCUACAAACUUAUUUUUCACGAACUUUCCUUGUUCGGAAAGUUGCAUUGUAUUAUUUACCCACAUGUCAUUAUGACAUAAAGUUGCAAAAGGCGAGCUAUAAUCGGGUUUACUACGGAAUUUUUCGUGCAUUUUCUUUUCCAUAUCUGCUAUGAAUUUCUCCAAUUUAUCAAUAUAAUUUCUACAAAAAAUAUCUUCUUUGGCUACCUCUAUAAAAAGAGGCAAUAGAUUUGGGGGUUUCAUUUUAUCAUUUUUUGGAGGUUGAGAUUGUGAUGAUGGAUUCAUUUCAUCAUCACGUUUCCCAGGAGGAGGUGGCAAACCGCAAUUUUUAAUGAUAUUCUCCUCAAACAAUUUCGGAUUCUGAAUUUUCAUAGCCAAAGGUAUAGCGUGGAAAACAGCGAGAUCUGACAAUAUCAAUUUAACGCCAUCUAGAUCAAAGCUUUUGUGUCUAUCAGUAUUGGUGUAUCCUAAAAAAAAUUUAAUAUAAGUUAAUAAAGUAUUUGCGUAGUUUGAGAAAAAAUUAGUUUUUGAUAGUUUAUACACAACUUUCAUUAUAAUUUUUUUUUAAUUCUUUGAUCGAUAUUCAUAGAGAAAAAAUUAUUGAAAAUUCAAAAAUUUCGUAAGUAGUUUAAACAUUUCAGCAAGGCCGCCAUAUUGCUUGAUUUCAUAUGUAUAAAACAAAACACUGAACAUAUGAUACAAAGUGAAUGCGACAGUUGUUCUGUACUUUAAGUAAACAUUAACAAUGACAUUAGAAUACAAGCAUACAAUUGUGUUACACAGA